rnacentral:rRNA from 1 species
UACGUAGGCAGCAAGCGUUGUUCGGAAUUACUGGGCGUAAAGAGUGUGUAGGCGGUGUUCUAAGUUUGUCGUGAAAUCUCCCGGCUCACCUGGGAGGGGGCGCUGGAGACUGGCGAACUGGAGGCAGGGAGAGGUCGGUGGAAUUCCCGGUGUAGUGGUGAAAUGCGUAGAGAUCGGGAGGAACACCAGUGGCGAAAGCGGCCGACUGGACCUGUCCUGACGCUGAGGCGCGAAAGCGUGGGGAGCGAACCGG